rnacentral:lncRNA from 1 species
CGCUAAAAUUAUUCAUGUGUUAUUAAAAUUGAUAGAGAACAUUUUUUGGGGGGAAAAGGAGGAGCCGGGCUAGAAAAACAAUUGUCCUGUCCCAAAGUACCUAUGACUUUUGAUACCUUUUCUGAAAUUUUCCAGUCUUUAAAUCCUUUACAUAAAUUCAUUGAUUACAAAAAAAAAGAUGUGGUAUGAUUGCCAAUGAGACAGCUCUCCAUAAGAGACCAAAAAUGACACCGAAAUUAACAACUAUAGGUCCCCUUACGGCCUUCAACAAUGAGCAAAGUCAAUACCCAUAGUCAGAUAUAAAAGGCCACGAAAUGACAAUGUAAAACAAUUCAAAUGAGAAAACUAACGG